UGGGGAAUAUUGGGCAAUGGGCGCAAGCCUGACCCAGCAACGCCGCGUGAAGGAAGAAGGCCCUCGGGUUGUAAACUUCUUUUAUAUAGGACGAAGAAGUGACGGUACUAUAUGAAUAAGCCACGGCUAACUACGUGCCAGCAGCCGCGGUAAUACGUAGGUGGCAAGCGUUAUCCGGAUUUACUGGGUGUAAAGGGCGUGUAGGCGGGAGAGCAAGUCAGAUGUGAAAACUACAGGCUUAACCUGUAGCCUGCAUUUGAAACUGUUCUUCUUGAGUGAUGGAGAGGCAGGCGGAAUUCCUAGUGUAGCGGUGAAAUGCGUAGAUAUUAGGAGGAACACCAGUGGCGAAGGCGGCCUGCUGGACAUUAACUGACGCUGAGGCGCGAAAGCGUGGGGAGCAAACA
rnacentral:rRNA from 1 species